rnacentral:rRNA from 1 species
UACAGAGGGGGCAAGCGUUGUCCGGAAUUACUGGGCGUAAAGCGCACGUAGGCGGAUACUUAAGUCAGGGGUGAAAUCCCGGGGCUCAACCCCGGAACUGCCUUUGAUACUGGGUAUCUCGAGUCCGGAAGAGGUGAGUGGAAUUCCGAGUGUAGAGGUGAAAUUCGUAGAUAUUCGGAGGAACACCAGUGGCGAAGGCGGCUCACUGGUCCGGUACUGACGCUGAGGUGCGAAAGCGUGGGGAGCAAACAGG